rnacentral:rRNA from 1 species
GACGAACGCUGGCGGCGUGCCUAACACAUGCAAGUCGAGCGAAUGAAGUUCCUUCGGGAAUGGAUUUAGCGGCGGACGGGUGAGUAACACGUGGGCAACCUGCCUCAUAGAGGGGAAUAGCCUCCCGAAAGGGAGAUUAAUACCGCAUAAGAUUGUAGUACCGCAUGAUACAGCAAUUAAAGGAGCAAUCCGCUAUGAGAUGGGCCCGCGGCGCAUUAGCUAGUUGGUGAGGUAAUGGCUCACCAAGGCGACGAUGCGUAGCCGACCUGAGAGGGUGAUCGGCCACAUUGGGACUGAGACACGGCCCAGACUCCUACGGGAGGCAGCAGUGGGGAAUAUUGCACAAUGGGGGAAACCCUGAUGCAGCAACGCCGCGUGAGUGAUGACGGCCUUCGGGUUGUAAAGCUCUGUCUUCAGGGACGAUAAUGACGGUACCUGAGGAGGAAGCCGCGGCUAACUACGUG